UUUAUCCAACAAGUCCUUUAUUUAUUUUAAAAAAAAAUUAUAAAUAUUAUUUAUGUGAUUUUAUUUUUUUUAUUAUUUUAAUAUUUUUUAGUUUAAAGUGUAUUACUUUUAUAUUAUAUAAUUUUUUUAUUUUUAUUAAUUAUUUUAUUAAUUUUUUUUGUUAAAUUAGUGAUAAAAUUAAAACUAAAGAGUACUAACGUGAAUAUUAGAUAAACUAUUGGUGGAAUAUCUCAAGUUUUUUGUAUAUGAUUUAAUAAAAAAUUAACUAAAGCCUGAUAGAAAGAAAAUAAAAAAAAAUAAUCUCAUAGUAUAAAAUUAAAAUAUUUUAAAUUAUAUAAUACUAAGGUGAGAAAGUACAAAACUGAUAAAACUUAUCCUUUAUUUAAGUACAUAAAAACAUCUAUACUUCAUAUUUUUUUGAAAAAUUUUUUCUGCUCUAUUAUCG
rnacentral:lncRNA from 1 species